rnacentral:rRNA from 1 species
UGGGGAAUAUUGGACAAUGGGCGAAAGCCUGAUCCAGCAAUGCCGCGUGAGUGAUGAAGGCCUUAGGGUUGUAAAGCUCUUUUACCAGGGAUGAUAAUGACAGUACCUGGAGAAUAAGCUCCGGCUAACUCCGUGCCAGCAGCCGCGGUAAUACGGAGGGAGCUAGCGUUGUUCGGAAUUACUGGGCGUAAAGCGCACGUAGGCGGCUAUUCAAGUCAGAGGUGAAAGCCCGGGGCUCAACCCCGGAACUGCCUUUGAAACUAGGUAGCUAGAAUCUUGGAGAGGUCAGUGGAAUUCCGAGUGUAGAGGUGAAAUUCGUAGAUAUUCGGAAGAACACCAGUGGCGAAGGCGACUGACUGGACAAGUAUUGACGCUGAGGUGCGAAAGCGUGGGGAGCAAACA